rnacentral:ncRNA from 1 species
ACGAUGAAAAGCCAAACCUGCUGUGAAAGCAGGAGCGGAAAGUUGUGGGUCUUCAUUUUGAAGACAGCCAGACUGCCAAG